rnacentral:rRNA from 1 species
AUUGAACGCUGGCGGCGUGCCUAACACAUGCAAGUCGAGCGGUAACAGGUGUAGCAAUACAUGCUGACGAGCGGCGGACGGGUGAGUAACGCUUGGGAAUCUGCCUGUUAGUGGGGGACAACCCGGGGAAACUCGGGCUAAUACCGCAUACGCACUACGGUGGAAAGCCGGGGACCGCAAGGCCUGGCGCUAACAGAUGAGCCCAAGUCGGAUUAGCUGGUUGGUAGGGGUAACGGCCACCAAGGCGACGAUCCGUAACUGGUCUGAGAGGACGACCAGUCACACCGGAACUGAGACACGGUCCGGACUCCUACGGGAGGCAGCAGUGGGGAAUAUUGGACAAUGGGCGAAAGCCUGAUCCAGCGACGCCGCGUGGGUGAAGGAGGCCUGCGGGUUGUAAGCCCUUUCGGUGGGGAAGAAAGCCUCGAGUUAAUACCUCGGGUCUUGACGUAACCCAUAGAAGAAGCACCGGCUAACUCUGUGCCAGCAGCCGCGGUAAC